UUCAACUUGUAAUGCCACGUGUGUGAGAGCCAAAUUCACAAGCGCUGUCAUUGCACCUUUUAAGGCAACUUGAAACCUUGAAAAUAUCGACAACAAGGACCACGUGGCAUUCAUUUCGAUAAGUUCGAGAACUUGAGUUUGCUAUAUUAACCCUAGAAAUUAGAAGUUGAAACAUACUUUGUGUUCUUUGCAGUUUUCAUACUCUUCCCCUUCCCCAAACUUCAAAAGAUGAGUACUUUUACCUAUAGUUUUGCAAAUACUUGCUUCUUUUUCAAGUUUUCUAGUAUCUCUUUCUUUAAUUUUCUCUCGGUUCAUCAUGACUAGAGAUUAACUAGACUCAUUUUCAUAUGCUUUUUCUUUAUAUUAGAUCAUUUUUUCCAUUGAUCUCUAUUUGAUUUCUUUUCAAAUUUCCUUGCAGGUGUUUUGUUGGUGCAUCUUGUAUAAGCUAUUGAUCUACACUGUCUUCAAUUCAAUUGUUGGAUGAUCUGUAUUUAUUAUCUCUUUUUAUGUCUUUUCAAAAGAUUUAGAUAACAAAAUAAUCUAUCAAAAGACUAAUGAUUAAUAAACAGGCAUAUUUGCAACUUUGCUUAUCAUUUUACCAGAUUGAUUCUUCUUGCAGUUUCCAAACUAAUAUUCAAUUCAUUUGAAAUUUUGCUUUCUUGUUAUUGUUUGACCAUCAGUCCAAUUAUGUGAGCACAGAUCUGUUUGUUUGGUUACUCUUCAAUCAUUCAUAACCUAACAAGCUUUUCCUUUUUCUUAUUACAGCUCUCAUUCAAUUGCUUUUCAUAUUAUUUUUCCAUCUGAAUUUUGCCCAUUUUGCAAAUGAGUUGGCCUUAAUUUUAUCAAAUCAGUUACAUCAUAUGUAUGUGAAGAAUUUUAACUAGAAUGUUAUAUUUCUUAAUCAAUUUAAGUACAUGAUCUAUGAUAUCAAGAAACUCACCCCAUGGAUUUGGUUCAUCUAGAGAGAAGUUCAUUUGUAUCAAGCUAGUUCUUAUGAUAAAUUCUGAUAAACAUUAAGCAACAAAAAAAAAAUAAAAAGCUUCUUUGUUGGGCAACAAUACCAUUAGUUUUCUAUAUGAAUAAACAUGUGAAUAAACAUGUGAAUGUCAUUUAGACAUAUACAUUGACAAGCUUUUGAUUAAAUUUCAUAAUAUCGUUAGACUAAGGAUUUCCCUCCUAUUUUUUGUGACGUUUAGUUCAUGAAAAUUUGCGAUGUCCAGCUUGAAGCAUUCAACCAUACACAAAGUAUUUUGUCAAUUCUUAGCCCUUUAUAGCAUGACUGCAUUUUUGUAUCAGUGUUAAAACCAGGUAAAUUCUCCAGGUUAUAUGAUCAAACAUAUAAGAAGACUUCAGUGAGUAAUUUAGCCAGUGAAUGUACUUUAGUUCUUCCAGUAAGUUCCUGAUCUUAGAUGUUCAACCAUAGCAGGACUUUUCGGUAAGUUCUUCCACUAUAUUUAUCUUAACUAAUUUAGAUCUUCAAAGCGUUCAGGAUACCUCACUUCUAAUGAUCUCAGAGCAACACAGGAUCGUCACAUAAGUUAUGAGGAGUUUCCUACGAUGAUGAAGGCUGGUACGGACCGGAGAAAGGCAUCCCGGCAAAAUUCACAGGAAAGAUUCAACAGUUUGAGUUUGAAGUUGAUAAGGGAUGGAUCAUUACAGUUAGCUGGCUAAGGAUCAAAGUUAUCCGAAAGGCAGAGUAAUCUACUGGGGAAAACAAGAAAGAAAAUAUUUAAUUUUGUUUCCGUGAAAUUAUUUUUAUCUUGUUUCAAUUUAUUCCCAUGUCUAGUUAGGAUUAGGGUGGCUUGGUCUCAAGUUUCUUAAGUAUUUAAAGUGUUUAGAAUUUAUAUGAUUAUGUAGUUUCAAGGAAAGAAAAAGGAACUCUUUGAAGAGAGAUGGAAAGAUUGUUAUUAUGAACCACUAUUGGUGAUUGUACAUUUUGAAUUAGGCGUACCAGCCCUUUUUUAUUAAAGGAUUAUUAGUCUAA